UGAGGAACAUGACCUUCGGCGGGGGAUAGCCGGCCCAACGGCCGGGUAAUACCGCGUACGACCACUUUGGGACAUCCCUAGGUGGUGAAAGCAGCAAUGCGCCGAUGGAGUGCCUCGCGGCCUAUCAGCUAGUUGGUGAGGUAACGGCUCACCAAGGCGACGACGGGUANCUGGUCUGAGAGGAUGGCCAGCCACAGUUGGGACUGAGACACGGCCCAGACCUCCCGUAACGGGGAGCCAG
rnacentral:rRNA from 1 species